UGGGGAAUAUUGCACAAUGGGCGCAAGCCUGAUGCAGCCAUGCCGCGUGUGUGAAGAAGGCCUUCGGGUUGUAAAGCACUUUCAGCGGGGAGGAAGGCGGUGAGGUUAAUAACCUUGGCGAUUGACGUUACCCGCAGAAGAAGCACCGGCUAACUCCGUGCCAGCAGCCGCGGUAAUACGGAGGGUGCAAGCGUUAAUCGGAAUUACUGGGCGUAAAGCGCACGCAGGCGGUCUGUCAAGUCGGAUGUGAAAUCCCCGGGCUCAACCGGGGAACUGCAUUCGAAACUGGCAGGCUAGAGUCGUGUAGAGGAGGGUAGAAUUCCAGGUGUAGCGGUGAAAGGCGUAGAGAUCUGGAGGAAUACGGGUGGCGAAGGCGGCCCCCUGGACAAAGACUGACGCUCAGGUGCGAAAGCGUGGGGAGCAAACAGG
rnacentral:rRNA from 1 species